UUUUUAUUCAAUGACGUGAAUUUUUUAUUCUUGACGUAAAUUUGAGGAUGGUAAGAGCCUUUGAUGAAUGAUGACCUCAAUUCUAGAAUAAUGGAGAGUUAGAACAAUUUCAAUUUGAUUGUAACACAAAUGAAUUUAAUUUUGGGAAGACACUUGAUUAGGGUGAACUUCUCUUGAGGAGACUUUUCCUCGAUUGUAUCAAAUCUCAAAGGAUAAACAUGUCUUAAUUUCUGAAAGGAGGGGUAUGGAGCAGUAACAGGUGACUUUGGAGGUGGAAGUGGCGUAGGGAAAUGUUCUUUCCGGAGGCAAAUCUUUCUGCAGCUGUCAAAUCUUCUGGUUGAUGUUCAUAUUUGCAGGAAUGAAAGGGAUUGUUGGAUUUGGCUGGCAGGUUCAAGGGCCUAUUUAGUAAGUUCAAUUUAUUUUGUCCUAAUUAAUCUACUCCUCUCUUGGAAGAGUUUUUCCCCUCAAAAGGUUAAAGCCUUUUCAUGGAGAUUGAUGAUCGACAAAUUGCCCUCUAAACUUGGUCUCUCAAAAGACAAGUUUUUUCCGACCUCGGGGAUACACUUUGCUCCUUUUGUCACAAUCAACAAGAAUAUGCCAAUCAUUUGUUCUUUAAAUGUUUAGUAACUUCUCAGGCACGGUAUCUGAUAUAUGCUUGGUCUGGAUUUCAUAGGGUUAUUUCUUUUUCUAGAGAGGCUCACUUUCAUCAACAGUAUUAUGCUCUUCUUAUAAAAGGAAGAAAUACAAAGAAUGCUUGGUAUAUUGUGUGACAUAGUGACAAUAAGAGUUUUGUACCUCAAAAAGCCUUUAUGGUUGAUGCGAAACUCUAAUUUUUCAGCAGGACAAUUUUCUCUAUGACUGAGUUGCUGGACAUGAUCAAGGUUCGCUCCUAGUUGUGGUUCCAAUCUUUUACAGGAAGUAGAUUUUUUUCUUUCUUAGAUUGGUGUAUGAAUCCAGUUGCUUGCAUCUCCUCUUAACUCGUUUGCAGUGUUGCAAGUCUUGCUGGCUGUUGAACACUCUAUCCUCAGGUGUUGCAAUACAUUUUGGAGGUAGCAUGUAUCUGUUUAUGGUUUUUUCUCUCAGCAAGCUGAAGCUUUGUUGCUGCUUUGCUGCAAAGGAGCAUUUCACUGUUCUGCUUUUGAGGGAAUUAUUUGCUAUCAGUAAAAUAAAAAAAUACAGUGGAGGUAAGUAUUGGUGUCAACUUUUGUAAAUAAGAGUAGAACUUGGUAAAUGAUCUCACCAAAGGAGAUUCUAACUUGCCAAUUUGGUUUCAUGGAUGAAAUAUUUCACUGGUUUGGAUAGCUCAACAACUUUUCAAAUCAUGAAUUCACUCAAGCAAUAUGUUCACAUUCUGAAAGGAACCACAGUCAUCUCGCCCAUGCAGCCAGAACCGCAGACUUCAAUUUUUUUAAUGACAUUAUUCUACUCUCUAACAACCUCAUUGUGUAUCAGGGUCCCUGCGAACACAUGGUUGAAUUUUCUGAAUUAGUGGAUUUUAAAUGUAUCGAGAGGAAAGAUUUGGCAUUUAUUUUUCAAGAAGUGUCGUUAUGUUUAUUCUCCAUGACUAAUCUGUCUACACCGGUAAAAACAAGUCUAAGAGCCUCCCAGCUGCAUUGACAUCCAAAAAAGUAUGGAGUGGGAAAAUGGGAGUUGUUAAAAGCUUGCAUAUCCAGAGAAUAUUGUCUACACCUUCAAGCUUUUGCCAAGUAGGUUAAGAACUGACAUGCAGAGAUUCAGUGACUCAUGGAGGCAUAUAUGUGGGUACACUGUUAUAUGGUGUUGUUGUGACUUUGUUCAAUGGAUUGGCUGAACUUUCCAUGGUGGUUUCAAGGCUCCCUGUUUUCUACAAGCAAAAGGGAUUGUCUCUUCUUCCCUUCAUAGACAAUAUAAGAAAAUGGUGGCUAUGGGGCUUUUGGACAGAAUUGCAUGGUAAAUCAUGAGUUCCUUAGGAAGAGAUGGAGACAUGUUCUUCUACCUAACUCACGGAGCCACUAGGAGUUGAAGUAUUGAAAUACAAGAAUUCUUCAUUCGAUCAUACUUUGUGAACUGAUCCAAACCUAAAUCACUUUUACUUGGUCCUUAAUUUGAUAAAUUGUUGGAACGACUUCUUAUAGUCUAUGCAUUUAAAUUGGUAUUGCUAAUUCAAGAGAAAUAAAAUUCGUUCAAUUCUGUUUG